rnacentral:rRNA from 1 species
AAGCCGGAGGAAGGUGGGGAUGACGUCAAAUCAUCAUGCCCCUUAUGUCCAGGGCUUCACACAUGCUACAAUGGUCGGUACAACGCGUUGCGACACUGUGAGGUGGAGCUAAUCGCCUAAAGCCGGCCUUAGUUCGGAUUGGGGUCUGCAACUCGACCCCAUGAAGUCGGAGUCGCUAGUAAUCGCAGAUCAGCAACGCUGCGGUGAAUACGUUCCCGGGCCUUGUACACACCGCCCGUCACAUCAUGGGAAUUGGUUCUACCCGAAGACG